UACAGAGGUGGCAAGCGUUGUUCGGAAUUACUGGGCGUAAAGCGCACGUAGGCGGCUUGGUAUGUCGGGUGUGAAAUCCCCGGGCUCAACCUGGGAGCUGCAUCCGAAACUGCCUUGCUCGAGUAUGGGAGAGGGAUGUGGAAUUCCAGGUGUAGCGGUGAAAUGCGUAGAUAUCUGGAGGAACAUCGGUGGCGAAGGCGGCAUCCUGGACCGGUAUUGACGCUGAGGCGCGAAAGCCAGGGGAGCAAACGGG
rnacentral:rRNA from 1 species